GUCUAGCCUGCCCAGCUGAUGUUUAAGUUUAACGGCCGCGUGUAGUAUGACCGUGCUAAGGUAGCAUAAUAAUUUGUCCUUUAAUUGGGGACUGGUAUGAACGGCUGAACAAGAAAUUAACUGUCUCUACUGCAAACUUUGAAUUUUACAUUUAAGUGAAAAGGCUUAAAUAAUAUGGGGCGGACGAUAAGACCCUAUAAAUCUUUAUGUUUUAACUAAUAAAUUUUACAGAUUAGUUAAAUAUUUAGUGUUAUUAAGUUAAAAUAUUUUGUUG
rnacentral:rRNA from 1 species